rnacentral:lncRNA from 1 species
GCUCGUCUCAUACAUGCUUUAACAAAUUGCAAAACAUUACAAAUCAUUCCAUUACGGAGAUUUCGGGAGGAGAGGAUGCCAUUAUCAACUGAAGAGAAAAAAAAAGAACAUUCUGACAAUAAAUAAAGAGAACAUUCUGAUUUAGACAAUUUGUUUAAACUGACCAUCAAUAAUUCGACAAAAUUCUGAUCAUUCUCACAAACGAAUUUAACUUUCUUCACCUCCAAUUCUUCAUUUUCCCCAUUCCCAUUGAUCCUCUUUAUUCCAACAAUCUCACAAUCAAAGAUCACAGCUUAAACCCAACUCAACCCCAAACCUAACAAGAAUUUAGGGGUUUCCUCGAAUGAAGCAGCAAAACAAAAGGGGGAAAUUUUUCAAACCUUGCUUUUCAUGAUUGAAAAAAAAACAAACAACCCACAAAAAUUAAGGAUCAAACCCGCAAAGAAUUUCACGCAGCACUCAAAAUCAAGAACAAUUACCCAGCAAGACUUUUAUGCAAUAUUUCAUUGACAACAAGAUUUCAGCAAGAUUUCAACAAGAUUUCAGAGAAAAUAGAACCUUAAAUGGCAGACCGUGCUGCACUGCUGCUGCUGUCGCGCCGAGGAGAGGAGAGCCGUUGGUGUCGCUGCUGUUGUCGCGCCGGGCUGGGAAGCAGUCGGUGCCCGGUGACCGGUGGUGGCAGAUGUUGCUAAUGUCGCGCCGGACCGUGCUGCACUGCUGCUGCUGUUAAGAUCGUCGAAUCUUCGCUGGAAAGAUGAGCCACCGUCGUGUCGGAGUGUGCCGUCGCGCCGGAGUGCGCGUCGCCGGCAACCGAGAGAGAGAUGAUAGAUUGGGGGUGGCUGCUGCGUGCUGAGUUAGGGACUUAGGGAGUUAGGGUUUGUCAUGUGUGUAAUUCAAAUUCACUAGUAAGGUAGAGUUCUAAUGGGCUUAGGAGUUGGGCCAUUUUGUGGGCUCAGAAAUAUAUUUAAUUUUGGGCUUACAUAUAAUAUAUUAUAUAUAUAAUUGUUUGAGC